UGACAACUCACUUGAUUGGUUUGUUUUACCCAACACAAAUACACAUGAACGUUUUUCUAUCCCCAAUGAGAGUAUUUUGGAUAGCUGCUACUCUUCAAAUUCCUAUUCCUCUGAUCGAUUUGCAGGUGAUGUUGCGGCGCUUGGUAUCAUCAGAGCUGGGAUAUUAAUGAAAGCUAAAACUGUUUUAAAUCCACGAGUUCAUUUGCUAUGUUCCCUAUCAUAUUGAAGGUCAGCCUUCCUACCUAAUUAUUGCCGAUUUAGUGUUCACAUCCCUCUCAGAGCCAUUGAUUGAGGAGGAAAGUGAAGACCAUAUGCGGCUAAACUUAUUGGCAAAGGCACGUUAUUCGUUGGCAAGGUUUAAGGGGGAACAAAUUGUAAUUCUUUCCCAGACUUGACUUUGCUAGAUCGAUGAAGAUGGAGAAUUGCAAGCAUUUAAUAUGAAGAAAAAAUUCAAGAUGGCCACCAUUAAAGUGGAGCCAAAUUCAAACUAAAACGCAUUAUGUGUGUUGCGAGUGGUUUUGUAUGCUUUAUCUUUUGCGGUUGCUUUUGGAUAUUUGAAUUUUGUUUGGAUUCUGAGGACAGUUUCAGUUUAAUAAGCUGGUCGUUGUAACCACUUUUGUUCACAUAUAAAUCAUUGUAGUUCACAAACAUCCUCAAUAAGUACAAGUCUCUCCGCUAAAA